GAAAUAAAUUUAAUUUAAUUUUAAAAUUUAACUUCUUUCAUUUGUAAGUUGUUCUUUUUUAAAUUAAAAAUAAUUGGGGAUAAGCUCGAUUUUUUUUUAAAAUUUUAUUUGUUUAAAUUGUAGUAGGAUUAUAAUCUUUCAUCUAUUUUAUUACGUUAUAGUAUAAAUUUUUAUUUUAUGAUUUAUUUUAAUUUAAUUAUUUAUUGAAAUAUUUUAAUUAAUUUUUCGUUAUAACUAAUAAUGAUUAAAUUAGUAUAGGUUGUUGUUUUUUAUUUAUUUUUUGUUAUUUAUUAAUAAGGAACUCGGCAAUUUUAAUGUUCGCCUGUUUAUCAAAAACAUGUCCUCUUGGUUUAAUUUGAGGUCAGACCUGCCCAGUGAAAAUAUAAGAUUUAACGGCCGCGGUAUUUUGACYGURCAAAGGUAGCAUAAUCAUUAGUCUUUUAAUAGAAGGCUGGAAUGAAGGGUUAAACGAAACAUUAACUGUCUCAUUUAUAUUAUUAGAAUUUAAUUUUUGAGUCAAAAAGCUUAAAUUUUAUUGGAGGACGAGAAGACCCUAUAGAGCUUUAUAUUUUAUUAUUUUAUAAUAUUUUGUUUAAUAUAUUUUUAUUAAUUAUUAAUUUAUUUUGUUGGGGUGACAAAAACACUUAAUAAACUUUUUUAUUUUAUUUACAUAAAUGCAUGAAUAUUUGAUCCAGUAUUAUUGAUUGUUAGAUUAAGUUACCUUAGGGAUAACAGCGUAAUAU
rnacentral:rRNA from 1 species